ensembl:lncRNA
CUUCUAUGUGUAUUAAAGUAGUCAAGUGUAGUUGUAUUUGGUCCCAUAUUCCUCGCACGCAAUGAUAACAUCAAGCUUGUGACUCAACAAACUGGUUGGAUGGGGGAACUAUGUAACAAAAAGUUUCUAAAUGGUACACCCGAAAUGAAAGCUGUCAGUCUGCACUCAUUGUAUUAUUUACAAUCCAAAACUACAAAAAAUGUGUCACAGUCCCAAUACUUUUGGAGCUCGCUGUAUAUUUUUGGAACGUUCGUUAAAAUCGCAGCUGUUCAGAAAUAUGAGGCAGAGAGAAAAGGCUCCAUCAUCAUAUCGAUCUAAUCGGUUGAGGCUUCAGAAGAGGGAGAUUCACCUGAGAUUCAGUCAAGGCUCCAUGGAGGAGUACCUGCUGGAGAGGGAGCAUGCUCUAGCAGUGGUUCUACCAGGAGGCCUGGAGAAAACGGCCCAGAUACAUGGGAGUAAACCUGUGAUGGACAUACUGGUCACACUCUGUGCCCUGAACCACCUGAAUCCAUCGGAGUUCACCAUAGAACUCCAGAAACCAAAUCUCCUUCAAUCCCAGCUCUCUGAUUGGAGCCAUGGAGCCUCACAGGAUCCUACUGAAACCUAAAGGGGGAGAGGAGAAGGAGGCUGUACGUGCCAGAGGUCACUUUACGUCUGCUGAUCAACUACAAGAAGAACCAUAAGGUCGUUGUGAGGGUCAGCCCUAGAGUCCCUCUGGAGCAGCUCCUGCCUGCGGUGUGUGUGAAGUCUGUCCCCCCCCCCCACCAAGUAAAGGGAACAGAAGGAGAAAGAGAACAGAGGAUUGUUCUGCUUAUCCAGGAGAAUUAAGAAGAAACCAGAAAAGGGUCUCUCAGUGAGUGUCCCUUUCUCACGUGGUCUGAAAAACCAGCGGGUGGCCAGCAUCAGCAUGAACUCCCUGGGUACCCACUCCUCCAACACCCUGCCCAUGGACAACACCAUGGCCAUGAAAAGACGGGCACCCAUGCCCCCCAUGGCAGGCUCCCAAAGCGCCCCUGCUAACCUCAACGUCCAGCCGUUGACCUCUAGGAAGAAGAGGAGAGCCCCCACGCCUCCUCCCUGUGCCCCCCCACCAUCAUCCUCCUGUGUUAACACCCACAAUGGAUCACCCCUGAGAUCAAAGGGAAUGGACAGUCACUUCACACACUGGAGGAGGUGAUGGGAGAGUGUGAGGGGGACCUGGACUCCCCAUCCUCAUCCCCAAACAUCUCCAGGCCUUUGAGUCAGCCUCGAGUGUCCCCCACUCCCCCUUCUACCCCCUCCACUACCUCUAGCACCUUUCCACCCUCCAAUCCCUACCAUCCCUCUCCUUGCUGCUCUCCCUCCCCUGCCACCCUAGGGGAGAUACUAACCCCUUUCCUGCUUUGUCAAACCCGGGCCAACCUCAAGCAUCCUUUGUUCCCAACCCCAAGACCCGUCAACUCCACCAAUGGAGGCUCACCUGGGUCCUUGACACCGUCAGGUGGAAGUAAGGGACUCAGUCCCCCCCCUCAAGACCAAGGACCCUGGUGAAGCUUGUCGGAGUCCCAGUCUGAGGGAGGGGAUGACCACAUUUACCGUGGUGCCCCUAGGGCCGUCCCUGAAGGAGCAGAGAGGCUUGGAGGUGGACCUGACCCUGGCGAAGACCCAGGCCUUAGACCCAGCACAAACCAUUGAUAUACGUGCCUGCAGCCCUGGCCAGGAAAACUGCCAUUCCCUCCUGCUUUACCCAGGCUGUGGCUCUAGCCGCCCAUAAGUCCCAGUCCUCCUGUCCUCGAAGGCCAGCACCAGACUUGCUUCCCUCCCUCUCCGGCUCCUCACCCUCCACUGCUUUACUGCUAACCAAUGCGGUGAGUGAUGAUUUUGACCUGCACUGACACAGUGAUGACAUGCACAUUUUGCCAUUGUAGCAACUGGAUUGGACUCCAAACUGAACCAUUGGUUACCCCUAUCAUACUACAAUGUGCUUCCUUCUAUACAUAAAGUUGUCAUUCUUAACUUUCAUGAUCUCUCUGUGAACCUCACAUGUUCCACAGGUGAACUCUUUACACCAGUGGAGGCUGGUGGGAGGAGCCAUAGGAGGACGGGCUCAUUGGAAUGGCUGGAAUGGAAUAAAUGGAACAGAGUGAAACAGGGUUUCUAUGUGUUGGAUACCCUUCCAUUCCAGACAUUCCAAUGAGCCUGCCCUCAUACAGCUCACCCCACCAGCCUCAUACAGCUCACCCCACCAGCCUCAUACAGCUCACCCCACCAGCCUCAUACAGCUCACCCCACCAGCCUCAUACAGCUCACCCCACCAGCCUCAUACAGCUCACCCCACCAGCCUCAUACAGCUCACCCCACCAGCCUCCACUGCAUUACACAGGAAAGAAGGGAAGGGCAUAUCUUUAUGGAAGUGUGUACAUUCUACAGUGUCAUUUUUUAUUUUUUUUCUCUCUCUCUGGAAAGACGCCAUUUGUUACAUUAAAUGGCGACAUAUGCCUUUCUAAACAAUCCUGGCAGGCUGGUAUUCUUCUGAGACACCUUAGUGUUUGUCUGUUAUCUUCAUGUGUUUGUGCAAAAGGUGGUAUAUGGCCCUGUAGAAUACAUCUAUGGACAUGCUCACACUCUGUGUGACCUGGUGGAGGAAAGACCUCAUCUAAACGGAUGAUAUUCGUGUCUCUUGUCCUACAGGGGCCAUAAUGGCUUCAGAGUAAAUCUGUGAAAUGGAAGUUUCUGUUUAGGGUGAGGCAACUGCAGUGAAGUAGAGCCGGCCACCACAUAGUCACAUGACCUCCAAACGGACCCCACUUAGAGGUCGACUGACAAAUUCCAAUGAAGCCCAGGCCCCUGUUUUGCACUGGGAGUCAGCGCGUUAUUAAAACAACAUUUAUCCAGGACUUCAUCCAAGAGUUUGAUUAGUGUACAGGUCAUUUUAUGUUCACUGAAUGUUUGUUUUUGUAUCAUGCUACCUGAAUUAAUUGGAGGCAGUGCUGCCUUUUCGUUAUGUUAUUACGAUUUCUGACUUUUAUGCAAAGAUGUAUUUAUUUGACCUUGGUAGUACAGUAUUUAUGGGCUCUGCAUUU